UACGGGGGGUGCAAGCGUUAUCCGGAUUCACUGGGCUUAAAGGGUGUGUAGGCGGAUAUUUAAGUCCGAUGUGAAAUCUCUGAGCUCAACUCAGAAACUGCCUUGGAUACUAUUUAUCUUGAAUAUCGUUGAGGUAGGCGGAAUAUGUCAUGUAGCGGUGAAAUGCUUAGAUAUGACAUAGAACACCGAUUGCGAAGGCAGCUUGCUAAACGAUUAUUGACGCUGAGGCACGAAAGCGUGGGGAUCAAACGGG
rnacentral:rRNA from 1 species